rnacentral:lncRNA from 1 species
UCACCACCUCUGAUGGGGAGGAGUGGAGACUUCUACAAGCCACACCAGUGCAGCACCAACCUCAGGCCCCAGGGGCUGUGCUGGCCUCCAGGGAAGGGAGAGGGAGCCAGAUUUUGCAAUGAUCCAAAGCAAGUCAGUAUUUGUCUGCAAGGAAAAGAGUGAAGAGAGAGGCUCCCCAGUUUUUUAAACUGUUUUCUUCCCCCACCUUGAAACUGGCAGCAUUUCUGAUAUGAUUGCAGGGGAUUUCCACCAACCAAGUUGAAGAAAAUUCAGUUUUAGCAUUAACUGCAGGGAGAGAGGAGGAGUUUUGCAACCUUUGUCAUUUAUGAAACACCAGCAGUGGCCCCAAAAUGAAGAUGCUUUCCUUUCUCCCAAAUCAAUCAGGCUCCCACCACCCUCCACGGGCUGGCGGCUAAUUACCACACGCGUCUUGACUCUGACCCGGGGGCAGCGGGGCACUGACCUUCCUUGACCCUCCUGGGAGCCUUGCCCUCCAGUCCUGCCCUUCCAACCGCUCGGCUGGGAAAACUGUUUGUCCUCUGGAGAGUGGCGGAAAGAGCUCCUCUGAGGUCCCACGGAAAAACAGCAGGUCCUCCUGCCGCUUCUUCUAACCCUCCGCCUGCCUCGCCUGCCCCCCCUCCGUCUCGGGCUGGAGGGGCGUCAGCCCAGGUGCCUCUGGAAGCUACACCUUGCCCUUCUUCAAAACAAGUUUAUAUCUGUAUCCAGAAGUGGAGUGUUUCCUGCCGUGUCAGCACACAAAGAUGUCACAGCCAUCGGCGAUUCCGGCCCUCCAAAUGUGAAUAUCUGAGCCCCGAGGGCGCCCAGGAAGAAGGAUGAAGCUCUCAAAGACCAGCUCUAAGGAGCUGGGGGUAUUGGUGGCGGGGCGCGGGCAUGUGAAAAAACGCAGGAUUCUGGCUCCGCUAGCUGAGAUGCAUAUGAAAGGAAUGAUUUCUGCAAGCCCAGGCUCUUGCAUCUUUUCGUACACAGAAAAGUGCUAAAUUCCUUAACUUGAGAUAUCUGUUUUUUCAUAAUUAAUAAUAAUCUUUUGAUGUUCAGACUACUUGCCCCUUGUUGCAAACUUCUAUAUAAUUUCACUCCUCCGCACCACCCCCCCACCACCACUUUAUCAGUAGCAGUUCUCUCAGGGUUACUUGGGAUGCUGUCUCCCAGGCUUGCCGUCUUAAAAUUCCCACCAAAUAAAACAUAACUCUUGACUUUUAUGUUG